GUAAGCCAGCGAUUUCGUGAAGGGCUCUCAUGUGUUGCAGCAAAGGUGAUUGACCUUACACGAGGAAAACCCCACUCUACCAGCUCUACCUUGAUGCAAGAGAGGAGGCUCUCACUGAUGACCUACCAGAUCUUGACACAGGGGCUGCACUUUUAUUCCUGCCAUACGUCUUCAAGGAGAAACUGGAUCUCUUUGUCAUACUUGGAGAGGUUCAUCCUAAAACCCCCUAUCCAACUGUUCAGCUACUUCAUGAAGACUGGAAACCAGUGUUCUCCAGAAGCGCUCCAAACAUUGUGAAGUUGGAUGGCAGUGAAGUGUGCAGAACCUCGUGUAUUUUUGAAGGAAUCAUCUCUUCUUUCUGCUUGUAUUUUGUCUUCAACCUUGCUUACCCAAAACAUCUGAAGAACACCCUGAUUUUUCUCCAAAAGUACAUUGUGAAAAUAGAUGAGGGUGAGGACCGGCCUCUGCCAAUCACAGUCACCAGACAAAUAAAUCUUCUGUAUUGACCACCAUGCCUCAGCCAUAUCAGUGCUCCAAAUGUGGCAGAAGAACCUUUAGUUUGAUAAAGCUUAUUCAGCACAUAGGACUUAUUCAUUCCCAUGAUGCCAAUUUUGAUAUAACUUGUGGACUCAGUGACUGCUGUUCUUCUGUUACACCAGAGUGUCAUUAUUUAAUCCACUAUGCAAGACUGAUUGAAAUGUUCGGCCCUCUCGUUUGUUAUGGUGUAUGAGAUUUGAAAGUAAGCACCAGUAUUUCAAAAUGUUGUCCCGCAAUUGUAGAAAUUUUAUGAACAUUGCUACAACUUUGAGCAACAGACAUCAGUUCAGACAGUGCUGGGAGUUUUCUAACAAAAGUUUACUUGGUGAAUUUGAAAAUGUUUUUGGAAAAAGUGUGACUACACCAUUUUUGUCAUUACCACUGGAA
ensembl:lncRNA